GCCCCCCGAAUUGUAGUCUAGAAAGGCGCCAUCGGCCGCAACCGUCGCUAAAAUCCCUUGGAACAGGGUAUCGGAGAAGGUGAGAAUCCUGUGACGUGAUGGCUUGCGGCCGCACGAUGCGCUCUUGCAGAGUCGGGUUGCUUGGGAUUGCAGCUUGAAGUGGGUGGUAAAUUCCAUCUAAAGCUAAAUACUGGCUCAUGACCGAUAGCGAACAAGUACCGUGAGGGAAAGAUGCAAAGAACUUUGAAAAGAGAGUUAAAGAGUGCUUGAAACCGGCCGGAGGAAACCCGGUUGCGCCUGGUUUCGCGUGACUCAUCAGCCGUCCUCGUGGGCGGUGUACUGUGGACCGCGGGUCAACCGCGUCUCGGUGGGCGGUACAAUCACUCAGCUCUAGUUAGCGAGGACAUGCCGCGCGCCGGGCCCCGGUUGACGUAACAGGCGCAACCGACCCGUCUAGAAACACGGACCAAGGAGUCUGACAUGGAUGCGAGUACACGGGUGUCAAGCCUGCGUGCGCAAUGAAAGUAAAGGCGGCGCCACCGCAACCGACCUAGAUCUUCUGUGAAGGGUUUGAGUAGAGCAUCGCUGUCGGGACCCGAAAGAUGGUGAACUAUGCCUGGGUAGGAUGAAGUCUGCUGAAAGGCAGAUGGAGGUCCGUAGCGAUACUGACGUGCAAAUCGUUCGUCAAAUCUGGGUAUAGGGGCGAAAGACUAAUCGAACCAUCUAGUAGCUGGUUCCCUCCGAAGUUUCCCUCAGGAUAGCUUGAAUAUAACGGUUUUGU
rnacentral:rRNA from 1 species